AGAUCUGGAGGAAUACCGGUGGCGAAGGCGGCCCCCUGGACAAAGACUGACGCUCAGGUGCGAAAGCGUGGGGAGCAAACAGGAUUAGAUACCCUGGUAGUCCACGCCGUAAACGAUGUCGACUUGGAGGUUGUGCCCUUGAGGCGUGGCUUCCGGAGCUAACGCGUUAAGUCGACCGCCUGGGGAGUACGGCCGCAAGGUUAAAACUCAAAUGAAUUGACGGGGGCCCGCACAAGCGGUGGAGCAUGUGGUUUAAUUCGAUGCAACGCGAAGAACCUUACCUACUCUUGACAUCCAGAGAACUUAGCAGAGAUGCUUUGGUGCCUUCGGGAACUCUGAGACAGGUGCUGCAUGGCUGUCGUCAGCUCGUGUUGUGAAAUGUUGGGUUAAGUCCCGCAACGAGCGCACCCUUAUCCUUGUGCCAGCGGUAGGCCGGGAACUCAAAGGAGACUGCCAGUGAUAAACUGGAGAAGUGGAUGACGUCAAGUCAUCAUGG
rnacentral:rRNA from 1 species